rnacentral:rRNA from 1 species
GACGAACGCUGGCGGCGUGCUUAACACAUGCAAGUCGAACGGAAAGGCCUGCUUUCCCUUGUGGAUUGCGGGUACUCGAGUGGCGAACGGGUGAGUAACACGUGAGUGAUCUGCCCCCAACUUGGGUAUAAGCCUGGGAAACUGGGUCUAAUUCCCGAUAGGACUGCAGGGUGGUGCCUGUGGUGGAAAACGAUUUUCUAGUGGUUGGGGAUGAGCUCGCGGCCUAUCAGCUUGUUGGUGGGGUAAUGGCCUACCAAGGCGGCGACGGGUAGCCGGCCUGAGGGGGUGGACGGCCACAUUGGGACUGAGAGACGGCCCAGACUCCUACGGGAGGCAGCAGUGGGGAAUAUUGCACAAUGGGCGGAAGCCUGAUGCAGCGACGCCGCGUGGGGGAUGACGGCCUUCGGGUUGUAAACUCCUUUCGACCGCGAGGAAGCCACCUGGUUGGAAGGGUGGUGACGGUAGUGGUAGAAGAAGCACCGGCUAACUACGUG